rnacentral:rRNA from 1 species
GACGAAGGGGCUAGCGUUGUUCGGAAUUACUGGGCGUAAAGCGCGUGUAGGCGGUUGCCCAAGUCGGGUGUGAAAGCCUUGAGCUCAACUCAAGAAAUGCACUCGGUACUGGGUGACUAGAGGACCGGAGAGGAUGGUGGAACUCCCAGUGUAGAGGUGAAAUUCGUAGAUAUUGGGAAGAACACCCAGUGGCGAAAGGCGGCCAUCUGGACCGGUACUGACGCUAAGG